CAGCUCAUUAUCUGACAGAAUCCCUCUGUUUCCGGAGUGAAUUCAGACUAUAAAAGAACGAGCAUCAGUUCACAGACACCAUCAUCUACUGAUGAACAUCUUCAAGACACAGUCUGAUCCAGAUCUUGAAUGUAAUCAGUCACGAGACUCCUGGUUUUCAUCAGAAAUAUCUUCAAUUGUGUCCUGAAGACGACCAAAGCUUUUACAGGUUUAGAAACGACAUAAAGCAUAUGUUAUAACUGUUGCUCAAUAAACACCAUUCACUGCAGCUUCUCCAGUCGUCUUGAUCCUUACAUGACAACUAACAACUAGAAAAAGAAACACAAACCAACUGUUCAAGUCCCGUCAUAAAUGUAAGUUGUUCAGUAUUUAAUGCUUGUUUAUUUAACUAUUUUUAUUGAAGCAAUGUCACACUAGCUGUUGUGAUGUGAUACUGAAUAUUCAGAAAACAAUCUUACAAAUUGUUUAAAUAAUAUAUUUUUUAGCCGAAUUAGUUUAAACUUCAAGAUAAAAUGUAUCCUUUUUAAUGUAUAAUGUAUUUUUAUAAUUUUGCAGGAACAGAUUAACUAAAAAUGCUGAUUCUGUCAUCAUUCACUCAACGUUCAGAUUCAUUUGCAAGCUCUUCAUUUAGAAUGGUCUAACAGGCAGGAAGGUAUAUCUAUAUCUAUGAUCUCUAUAGGAGACAGAGGCAGAAACAUAAACAGUACAUGGCUAGGGUCGAGACAGGCAGCGAGUUGGGAACAUCAGGGUCGAAGAAUCCAGAUAAGGGGUCAGGAGGUAGGCAGCAAACAAUCAGAGAAACAGUCCAAGAUAAGUACAGGAAAUCAACACAAGGAAUAGUUCUACGCCGAAGUCUUCUCCGUGGUCGGUGGGGCAGGCUGAUCCGGGUGGUCAGCGUGGAGGUCAGUGGUCAGUGAGUGGUCCAGGAUGUCCUGGGCAUUGACCCAGGAUUACUCCUCUGGCCCGUAUCCUUCCCAGUCAAUACGACAUUAUAGAACCCGACUUCGGCAUUAUGAAUUGAGUAUCUCCUUUACUCAGUAGGUUUCCUCGCCGUCAAUGAUCAAGGGAGGGGUUUCGCUCUCCACUGCAUCGUCUGGGUUCCUCUUUCCUCUCGGGCCACCGGAUACAAUGUCCUCUGGCAGACCAUAGAAGCGGAAAACAGAUUCAUUAAUACCUCAGCUGUUUCCCAGGCAGUGGGCAUUUUGGGAAGUGGCACGAACCAGCAAGCCAUGGUUAAUGGGUUACACCUGUGCAGGUAAUCAGUCCUAGGUAUGGGGCAUAAUGGGAAAUGUAGUUAGGGACAGUUAGUACUUAGGGGAGGUUUCUCUUCAGUGGCCGUCAGAGAGAGCCACAGAGGCGCGGUUAAUGACACGUAUCAGGACAUCUGUUUUAGGAAUGUAUUUGGAGAUUGAAGCAUUUCUUUCAUAUUAAAUUAAUGACUGGUUUCUCAGAAAUUUGGGAAACAAUGGAACAAAGUAACAUCAGCAUCAAUGACUCAAAUGAAUCAGACUGGCUGUGGGAAUUUUACCGGAAACAAGUUUACGCAGAACGUGUAUUUGUCUGAAUCCUUUCAGUCAUUGAGAUUCCAGUCAUGAUCUCUAAAUGCUUUGUGUUUUGUAGUCAAAUCUCGGCCUGCUGCAUUGGAUUUUGUUAGUCAUUUGAUACUUUUAAAUCUCUUACAGGUCAUAUGUAUGUUAAUAGGAACAACAAUCUUUUAUGGCAUGUGUUUCUUUUGAAUGAUAUCUUCUGGUUUCUCAUCCUAUCUGGUACAAAUCUCACCAAUCACUCAAACUCUCCCGUUUUAUUUCUGUGAUCGUCUGGUUUGUGCCUCUGAGCUUUGCAAAAAUACACCCAACUUUUAUUUAAUUUAAUGAUCUAACCCUAAGUAUAUAACCUGAAUCUCAUUCAUUAAACAACCUGCAGCUCAGUUUAACCUGCUGCUAAAUAAAAUUCUAGGAAAUGUAGGUUUAUUUCUAAAAUUGUUAUUAAAACAAUUGAUAAAAAGUGAUUAAAUCAGUGCAUGUGUUCAAUGAAUCAGACUUUCUGCAUGCCAGUGUUUAUAUAAUGAUACCCUCCAAACUAAUAGAGAUGGUCAUGUGUCGUCACAGUGG